rnacentral:rRNA from 1 species
CAAGUCGAGCGGGAAGGGUAGCUUGCUUCCUAACCUAGCGGCGGACGGGUGAGUAAUGCUUAGGAAAUCUGCCUAUUAGUGGGGGACAACAUUCCGAAAGGAAUGCUAAUACCGCAUACGCCCUACGGGGGAAAGCAGGGGAUCUUCGGACCUUGCGCUAAUAGAUGAGCCUAAGUCAGAUUAGCUAGUUGGUGGGGUAAAGGCCUACCAAGGCGACGAUCUGUAGCGGGUCUGAGAGGAUGAUCCGCCACACUGGGACUGAGACACGGCCCAGACUCCUACGGGAGGCAGCAGUGGGGAAUAUUGGACAAUGGGCGAAAGCCUGAUCCAGCCAUGCCGCGUGUGUGAAGAAGGCCUUUUGGUUGUAAAGCACUUUAAGCGAGGAGGGGCUACUUAGAUUAAUACUCUAGGAUAGUGGACGUUACUCGCAGAAUAAGCACCGGCUAACUCUGUGCCAGCAGCCGCGGUAAUACAGAGGGUGCGAGCGUUAAUCGGAUUUACUGGGCGUAAAGCGUGCGUAGGCGGCUUUUUAAGUCGGAUGUGAAAUCCCUGAGCUUAACUUAGGAAUUGCAUUCGAUACUGGGGAGCUAGAGUAUGGGAGAGGAUGGUAGAAUUCCAGGUGUAGCGGUGAAAUGCGUAGAGAUCUGGAGGAAUACCGAUGGCGAAGGCAGCCAUCUGGCCUAAUACUGACGCUGAGGUACGAAAGCAUGGGGAGCAAACAGGAUUAGAUACCCUGGUAGUCCAUGCCGUAAACGAUGUCUACUAGCCGUUGGGGCCUUUGAGGCUUUAGUGGCGCAGCUAACGCGAUAAGUAGACCGCCUGGGGAGUACGGUCGCAAGACUAAAACUCAAAGGAAUUGACGG